rnacentral:rRNA from 1 species
UACGUAGGUGGCAAGCGUUGUCCGGAUUUACUGGGCGUAAAGAGCGCGCAGGCGGUCGGAUAAGUCGAAUGUGAAAGCCCCCGGCUCAACUGGGGAGGGUCACGCGAUACUGUUCGACUCGAAGGCAGGAGAGGGAAGCGGAAUUCCCGGUGUAGUGGUGAAAUGCGUAGAUAUCGGGAGGAACACCAGUGGCGAAGGCGGCUUCCUGGCCUGUUCUUGACGCUGAGGCGCGAAAGCUAGGGUAGCAAACGGG